rnacentral:rRNA from 1 species
CCUACGGGGUGCAGCAGUGAGGAAUAUUGGUCAAUGGCCGGAAGGCUGAACCAGCCAUGCCGCGUGAAGGUCAGUGCCCUAUGGGCGUUAAACUUCUUUUGUGCGGGAGCAAUAAUGGUCACGUGUGGCCAGACGAGAGUACCGUACGAAUAAGCAUCGGCUAACUCCGUGCCAGCAGCCGCGGUAAUACGGGGGAUGCAAGCGUUAUCCGGAUUUAUUGGGUUUAAAGGGUGCGUAGGCUGUGAGGUAAGUCAGCGGUGAAAUGCCCCCGCUCAACGGGGUGAAGUGCCAUUGAUACUGCCUGGCUGGAAUGCGGAUGCCGUGGGAGGAAUGUGUGGGGUAGCGGUGAAAUGCAGAGAUAUCACACAGAACACCGAUUGCGAAGGCAUCUCACGAAUCCGCGAUUGACGCUGAUGCACGAAAGCGUGGGUAUCAAACAGGAUUAGAUACCCCGGUAGUC